GCUGGGUGUGGUGGCGAGCACCUGUAAUCCCAGCUACUGGGGAGGCUGAGGCAGAAGAAUCACUUGAACCCGGGAGGCGGAGGCUGCAGUGAGCCAAGAUGGCGCCACUGCACUCCAGCCUGGGUGACAGGGUGAGACUCUGUCUCAA
rnacentral:SRP_RNA from 1 species